GCCGGGAAUGGUGGUGCAUGCCUGUAGUCCCAGAUACUUGGGAGGCUGAGGUGGGAGGAUCACUUGAGCCUAGGAGGUCGGGGCUGCAGUGAGCCAAGAUCGCGCUGCUGUACUCCAGCCUGGGUGACAGAGUGAGACCCUGUCUCAA
rfam:Homo sapiens chromosome 9, GRCh38 reference primary assembly.